GAGGGGAAAGGUUCCAUGUG
rnacentral:sRNA from 1 species